rnacentral:misc_RNA from 1 species
CACACACACACACACACACAAAGAUCUUGUAUCUCUGAUUAGUAUUCCUAAAUAUAGAAGGAUCAGAGCUUCUUAGUAUUCCUAAAUAUGACUGGAAUUAGGCGCUGAAUGGACAUCAUCAUAAUAACAAAUGGGGCUCAAUUGACAAUAAGUCUAUACAACAGUAAGUCUAUCAUGGGGUAGCAUUUGGCUUCUUGUUAUGAUAAACCCAAUGGCCUUACUCUUUUUAAUAAAUUUUGUUAUCAUAAAAUGACCUGAACGCUUGAUGCAUUUUCAUGUUUGAUGGCCUAUAACUCAAAAUUUAUCAUUAAAUUGAACAUCAGUAUACAGUUUUAAUCUUUUGUUUGCCUGUGAUCAAUUCUAUUAGCUCUUUUUUCCUCCCACACAGAGGUGGGAAUGUAAACAUGAACUAUGAGCAAGAUUCAUUGGUUGUAUAAUUGGCAUUUUGUAUUAUAAUAACCAUGUUUUGAUCAAAAUUGUAUCAACCCAUUUCAUUUUUAGUAAACAAGUUCAAUUAAGGAUAGCCUGCAAUGAACACAAUCAACUUAUUAUGUCAAUAUCUUUAACUUUGUUUAACAUGUUUGGCCAUAUAUUGAGAAGUAUAAGGUUUCAAGUUAGUGGAAGUGUGGAACUAAUAUUAAGUUAAGAGUUGUGGAUAAGCAUAGUAUAGGGGUUUCAAGUUUAGUAGAACUAAAACAGAGAAUAUGCAUUUAGACUUUAGUAAUGAAGGGGGGCUGACUGAGGUGAUGUUAGCUUUUGUGGCACAAAAGUCGCACAAGAAGGAUCUGUUAUACAAAGAGAUGGUGAAGUGAGGAGCAUAUAUGCCAUAGGAUUAAAGCAGAUGAAUAAAGUGGCGCAAUGCAACAGGAGUAUUAUGCAAUUGCAAAAUACCAGCUAUGUUGAGGGAGAAGUUGUACAUAUAGCAUUUGUGUUAUUGUAUUUUUCUGUAUUAUUUUAUUUUAUUUCACUUCUUAUGUAUGAAUAGAUAAAUUAUUUGAAUCAACUUCCUGUUGAAUAAUUUUUCCAGCUAGUGUAGACAUGACCUGUUUGAUAACUGGAAUAGUGGAUACUAACUUGUUAGUUGUUAAAGAAAUUUUUUAUACAUUCUUUCCUCUGAACAAUUACGAACAAUCCAAUUCCUCCAACUUUAGGGUGUAAUUGUUCUGCUAUAGGUACAAGUUUUACUUGCAGAAAAAUAUACGCUAGAACAGCAAAGGGGGAAAAAAAAAAGGUUCUGCUGAAAAAUUUAAUCAGAAUAAGCAUUUGAGUUAUUAUGUUUAAAGUAUUUAAUUAUUGAGUAAUUUUUUUGUUCUUAGUCCAAGUUUCUGAUUAUAUGAAAAAUCAUAGCUUUUCCAAUUCCUUGCUUCAUGGUGAUGCUUGACUUCACUGCAUUAACACAUCCCCUGUAGAGUUAUGAUCUUUAUGCCUGCUGAUGUAGUCAUGUUUGUUUCAUUUGUCAAUUGACAGGUAAACUUAAGCCCAUAUGAGAAGGGAUGGAUUAUAAAGGUCGAUAUUAGUGAUGUUGGUGAGCUCAAGAACUUGAAGGACUCAGAUGAGUACACGAAGUUGUGUGAAGAAGAAGAUGCAACACAUUGAGUGGACCUUGUCAUAGUCGAAAUUGUGGGUUGCUUCCUCUGUUUGCUCAACUUAAUAAUGCACUUUUGUCCUGAUUCAGUUGUGGUUUUCUCAUGUCUCUUUGUUACUAAUAAUAAAAUUGGUAACUAGUGUUAAUGUCUAUUCCCGUGUUUUAAUUUUUUUAAAGCGAUUUCAUUGUAUCAAUAUGCUUGAAAAUUGCCCCCUUUUUUUUAUAAUUUAAUGUAAUGAAAUUUUCUCCUAUGUAUUUGUG